UACGGGGGGGGCAAGCGUUGUUCGGAAUUACUGGGCGUAAAGGGCUCGUAGGCGGCCAACUAAGUCGGAUGUGAAAUCCCCAAGCUUAACUUGGGAACUGCAUCCGAUACUGGAUGGCUUGAAUCCGGGAGAGGGAUGCAGAAUUCCAGGUGUAGCGGUGAAAUGCGUAGAUAUCUGGAGGAAUACCGGUGGCGAAGGCGGCAUCCUGGACCGGCAUUGACGCUGAGGAGCGAAAGCUAGGGGAGCAAACAGG
rnacentral:rRNA from 1 species